UCUCAGUCCUUGAAGAGACCUGGUUAUCUUGCAACUGGACAAGGUUGGAUGCUGAAAACAGAAAGUUGUUUGAAAAUCUUUAGACCACCAGAAGGCCAGCUCCAACUCACCCUGACUACUGCUCUCAUCCUCUACUUAAGCUCAUUUGCUUCAAUCACCUGGCUUAUAUGGAGAAGGACACAAAACAACAUUUGGCGUCACUCAACUCCAGUGAUAAAAGUUAUUCCCCAAACCCCAGCUGAAUGGAUUCUAUUGGUCUGAAGGAUGGACAGAUGAGACUCUAUAUAAUGCACAGGAAGACAUGAAUACAUGGAACUACUAAUUCAGCAUUACUUUCAGAAAUGAUAGAAGCAUGUAACAGGG